rnacentral:misc_RNA from 1 species
AACGCACAUUGCGCCCCGUGGUAUUCCACGGGGCAUGCCUGUCCGAGCGUCAUUUCAACCUUCAAGCUCUGCUUGGUGUUGGGCCUUGCCCGCGUGUGGCCGGCCCCAAAGUCAGUGGCGGUGCCGUCUGGCCCUUAGCGCAGUACAUCUCUCGCUUCAGGGCCCCACGGUGACCUGCCAGAACUCCUAACUCUGCGGUUGACCUCGGAUCAGGUAGGGAUACCCGCUGAACUUAA